rnacentral:rRNA from 1 species
UACGGAGGAUGCGAGCGUUAUCCGGAUUUAUUGGGUUUAAAGGGUGCGUAGGCGGAACAAUAAGUCAGUGGUGAAAGACUGCAGCUUAACUGUAGACUUGCCGUUGAUACUGUUGAUCUUGAGUAUGGUCAAGGCAGGCGGAAUGUGUAAUGUAGCGGUGAAAUGCUUAGAUAUCACACAGAACACCGAUUGCGAAGGCAGCUUGCUGGGCCAUUACUGACACUGAGGCACGAAAGCGUGGGUAUCAAACA